CCUGCCAUAAGAUGAGCCCAAGUGGGAUUAGGUAGUUGGUGGGGUAAAGGCCUACCAAGCCGACGAUCUCUAGCUGGUCUGAGAGGAUGACCAGCCACACUGGAACUGAGACACGGUCCAGACUCCUACGGGAGGCAGCAGUGGGGAAUAUUGCACAAUGGGGGGAACCCUGAUGCAGCCAUGCCGCGUGAAUGAAGAAGGCCUUCGGGUUGUAAAGUUCUUUCGGUGAUGAGGAAGG
rnacentral:ncRNA from 1 species